AAACGAGAAUUUUAAUUGUCCGAUUUCCAGAUAUCUGAAUUAGUUGUUGCUGCUUCUAAGCCAGGCAAAAUUAAACUUGUUGAGACGGGGAAAAAUGCACUAUGCCUUCGCCAAGAUUCGAGCACCAGACCUCCAGAUUACUAGCCGGACGUUUUAUCCAGUUACAUCACGAAGACUCGUGAAAAGGAGGAAGGAAAUACCUUCAAUGUAGCAGCAAUUCCGGAUGAUGCAAGAGCCAGUACAAUGUGUAUCUUAACUCGUACUUUUGCCAGUAAAAGAUUAAUGAUUUGUGAGAAAAGUUUUUCCAGUACCACCUGAGGGGCAAUUUAAUCACUUUUCUCUCGACAAACGUCCAGUAUCCAAAGGAAACAUUAAGUUUAUGUAUUAUAGCCACAUACUGUUAAUAUAUAGGCGUUCUCUAUAUUUGUUAAUAUUACAUAUCCAUUAAUACUACUGUUAAUGACAUUUGAGCAUUACAAACUCCUUACUGUAGUUUGUUAAUGACUUUGUAAUAUUUGAAAUUAUGUUCUUAUGCAUUGUAUGUAAUAAGUUGCUUGUAAAUACAGAUCUAAUAAAAA